rnacentral:rRNA from 1 species
AGUGAACGCUGGCGGCGUGCUUAAUACAUGCAAGUCGAACGAUGAAGCUUCUAGCUUGCUAGAAGUGGAUUAGUGGCGCACGGGUGAGUAAUAUAUAGUUAAUCUGCCUUGCACUGAGGAACAACAGUUGGAAACGAUUGCUAAUACCUCAUACUCCAACUUAGCAUAAGUUAAGUUGGGAAAGUCUUUUCGGUGCAAGAUGAGACUAUAUCGUAUCAGCUAGUUGGUAAGGUAAUGGCUUACCAAGGCUAUGACGCGUAACUGGUCUGAGAGGAUGAUCAGUCACAUUGGAACUGAGACACGGUCCAAACUCCUACGGGAGGCAGCAGUAAGGAAUAUUGUGCAAUGGGGGAAACCCUGACGCAGCAACGCCGCGUGGAGGAUGACACUUUUCGGAGCGUAAACUCCUUCUGUUAGGGAAGAAUAAUGACGGUACCUAACGAAUAAGCACCGGCUAACUCCGUG